AGUGAACGCUGGCGGUAGGCCUAACACAUGCAAGUCGAACGGCAGCACAGGAGAGCUUGCUCUCUGGGUGGCGAGUGGCGGACGGGUGAGGAAUACAUCGGAAUCUACUCUGUCGUGGGGGAUAACGUAGGGAAACUUACGCUAAUACCGCAUACGACCUACGGGUGAAAGCAGGGGACCUUCGGGCCUUGCGCGAUUGAAUGAGCCGAUAUCGGAUUAGCUAGGUGGCGGGGUAAAGGCCCACCAAGGCGACGAUCCGUAGAUGGUCUGAGAGGAUGAUCAGCCACACUGGAACGGAGACACGGUCCAGGCUCCUACGGGAGGCAGCAGUGGGGAAUAUUGGAGAAUGGGCGCAAGCCUGAUCCAGCCAUACCGCGUGGGUGAAGAAGGCCUUCGGGUUGUAAAGCCCUUUUGUUGGGAAAGAAAUCCAGCUGGCUAAUACCCGGUUGGGAUGACGGUACCCAAAGAAUAAGCACCGGCUAACUUCGUGCCAGCAGCCGCCGCCG
rnacentral:rRNA from 1 species